rnacentral:rRNA from 1 species
GACGUAGGGCGCGAGCGUUGUCCGGAUUUAUUGGGCGUAAAGAGCUCGUAGGUGGUUUGUCGCGUUGUUCGUGAAAACUCACAGCUUAACUGUGGGCGUGCGGGCGAUACGGGCAGACUUGAGUACUACAGGGGAGACUGGAAUUCCUGGUGUAGCGGUGAAAUGCGCAGAUAUCAGGAGGAACACCGGUGGCGAAGGCGGGUCUCUGGGUAGUAACUGACGCUGAGGAACGAAAGCGUGGGUAGCGAACAGG